UCUGCUCUGGGUACUGUUUCAAGCAUUUUGCCAACCCUUGUGCCAACCCUGUUUACCAAGUGGGUGAGAGAGCUUGGUUAUCUUCUCGUAACAUCAGGCUCAAAGUCCCUAGCAUGAAAUUUGCUCCUAGCUUCCUUGGACCUUUUCGUGUCCUUCGUAGGAUCAAUCCUGUUGCGUACUCUCUGGCCCUUCCGGCCUCCUUGAAAAUUCCUAAUACCUUUCAUGUGUCCUUGC